rnacentral:lncRNA from 1 species
CUAUUUCAAAUCAAAAACAUAGUUCAUACGGUGGAGUAUAUUUAAUUUCGAAUUGAUGUUUGAAGAUUGGAAUUUGGUGUAAACUAACGUCAACUUUUUGAUGAUCAAUACGUAAAACUGUGUCCAAUAAUUAUUUACAGCUAUCCCUAAAAAAGGCGUUCCCCGUUUUGCAACCAAGAAUAUAAAUACGUCUUUAAACAUCCCACAUAGAAACGGACGCCCCUCUUUAAAACAUCAGCUUAGAUACCGGGUGUGAGAGGACCAGUGAUUAUACUAAUUAUAUACU